rnacentral:rRNA from 1 species
UACGUAGGCAGCGAGCGUUGUUCGGAAUUACUGGGCGUAAAGAGUGUGUAGGCGGUGUUCCAAGUCUGGUGUGAAAUCUCCCGGCUCAACUGGGAGGGUGCGCCGGAAACUGGAAUGCUAGAGGGUGGGAGAGGUAAGCGGAAUUCCUGGUGUAGCGGUGAAAUGCGUAGAUAUCAGGAGGAACACCGAUGGCGAAGGCAGGUCUCUGGGCAUUAACUGACGCUGAGGAGCGAAAGCAUGGGGAGCGAACAGG